AUUCACUGAAGCAUUUCUUAACUAGAAUCAAAUCUGCCAGUCUUUUAUUAGUUAAAGUAGCUAUCAUCAUACUGCUCUUCCAAAAGGAAACUCAAAAUGAUACUAAUGAAAAUGUACUCAUUUUCUCCCCAAGUUCACUGUAAUCUCUCUCUUGCUCUAAUUUUCAACAUUUUUUUUAAAAGAGGAAAUCCCCUUGGAUUUUUAUGUGGGAGAGAUUCCUGUUUUUUGAUUUUUAAAAGGCCUACAGUACAGUUACUUCAGAAAGUAGAUGGAAUUGUUAUGUUGCAGGGAAUACUAAACCGCCUCAGAUUUUUUUUUAACAGGUGAGGCA